rnacentral:rRNA from 1 species
UACAGAGGUGGCAAGCGUUGUUCGGAAUUACUGGGCGUAAAGGGCGCGUAGGCGGCCAUCUAAGUCAGACGUGAAAUCCCCCGGCUUAACCUGGGAACUGCGUCUGAUACUGGACGGCUUGAGUUUGGGAGAGGGAUGCAGAAUUCCAGGUGUAGCGGUGAAAUGCGUAGAUAUCUGGAGGAAUACCGGUGGCGAAGGCGGCAUCCUGGACCAACACUGACGCUGAGGCGCGAAAGCUAGGGGAGCAAACAGG